AUUGAACGCUGGCGGCAUGCCUAACACAUGCAAGUCGAACGGCAGCACGGGGGCAACCCUGGUGGCGAGUGGCGGACGGGUGAGGAAUGCAUCGGAAUCUGCCUCGUUGUGGGGGAUAACGUAGGGAAACUUACGCUAAUACCGCAUACGACCUACGGGUGAAAGUGGGGGACCGCAAGGCCUCACGCGAUGAGAGGAGC
rnacentral:rRNA from 1 species